AAGUCGUAACAAGGUUUCCGUAGGUGAACCUGCGGAAGGAUCAUUAUUUGAUCUAAAAUCGGAGGUAUUUGCAAAAAUAUCGCCUUUUUGCUUUGUGAACUGUAUUGUACUGUUGUAUUUUUUUUUUAAAAAGUUGUUGCUUUCUUCGGAAAGCAGAAAUUUAAAGACAACUUUCAGCAAUGGAUCUCUUGGCUCUU
rnacentral:misc_RNA from 1 species